GUUUUAAUAGUUUAACAAAAACAUUGGUCUUGUAAAUCAAAAUUAAGGUUUCACCUUUUAAAACU
rnacentral:tRNA from 1 species